rnacentral:rRNA from 1 species
UACGAAGGGUGCAAGCGUUACUCGGAAUUACUGGGCGUAAAGCGUGCGUAGGUGGUUUGUUAAGUCUGAUGUGAAAGCCCUGGGCUCAACCUGGGAACUGCAUUGGAUACUGGCUUACUAGAGUGCGGUAGAGGGGUGUGGAAUUCCCGGUGUAGCAGUGAAAUGCGUAGAUAUCGGGAGGAACACCGAUGGCGAAGGCAAUCCCCUGGACCUGUACUGACGCUCAUGCACGAAAGCGUGGGGAGCAAACAGG